UACGUAGGGUGCGAGCGUUAAUCGGAAUUACUGGGCGUAAAGCGUGCGCAGGCGGUUAUAUGAGACAGAUGUGAAAUCCCCGGGCUCAACCUGGGACCUGCAUUUGUGACUGUAUAGCUAGAGUACGGUAGAGGGGGAUGGAAUUCCGCGUGUAGCAGUGAAAUGCGUAGAUAUGCGGAGGAACACCGAUGGCGGAGGCAAUCCCCUGGACCUGUACUGACGCUCAUGCACGAAAGCGUGGGGAGCAAACAGG
rnacentral:rRNA from 1 species